AGGACUGUCCAACCUGAGAAUGUUGGAUUUGGGUUCAAUCUCAGGUUCGUCAGCCCAUG
rnacentral:pre_miRNA from 1 species